rnacentral:sRNA from 1 species
GCCAGGUGUGGAGGUGCACGCCUCUAAUCCCAGCAACUUGGGAGGCUGAGGCAGGGGGAUCACAAGUGUGAGGCCAGCCUCAGCAAAUUAGCAAGACCCUGUCUCAA